ACACUCUCGCGAGGCUUCCCCGGCGGCAGCGGCGGCGCACCAACGACGGCGGCGUAGCUCUUUUCUGUCAAGUCCGCCGGGCCGGCACUUAUGGCAGCGCUGCGGGGUUUCCUGAGGCGGCGUCGCUGCCGCCUCCCCAACGGCAACGGCAGCGACUCGGAGCUGCCUCACCGAAGGCAGCUGUGGGGUGUGAGGGCCCGGCCGCCGGGCAGCAGCGCCGCGCCGCUGAGCAGCUUGGGCACCGCGGCGGCGGCGGGCGCUACCGGCGGGGCGCUCGCCUGGUUCGUCUGCCAGCGCUUCUACGAGCGUCGGCCGUCACCUCAGCAGCGGCAGAAGGGACGAAGCGGCCAGGCCGGCCAGGCCCGCGCGCUGCUGCCCAUCCCUGUGGCGGCCGCUGCCAAGGAUACGACGGGCACAGAAAGCAGACCAGAUCUUCAAGAGCUGGAUCUUUAUGCAACUUCCCGGGAGCAGCGAUUUCGCAUGUUUGCCAGUUUAGAAUUUGAAGGGCAGCUCUUUAUGACACCAUAUGACUUCAUUCAGUCUGUUUCAAUUGAUGAACCAAAGAGGACAAGAAAAUGGAAGUCUCUUUCAAAACAGGAAUUGAAUCAAAUACUUGUAGAAACUCCACCAGUUUGGAAAGGGUCGUCAAAACUCUUUCGUAACCUCCAAGAGAAAGGUGUGAUUUCUUACACAGAAUAUCUGUUUCUGUUAUGUAUCUUAACAAAGCCACAUGCUGGUUUUAGAAUAGCUUUCAACAUGUUUGAUACAGAUGGAAAUGAGAUGGUGGACAAAAAAGAGUUUUUGGUGCUGCAAGACAUAUUCAGAAAGAAAAAUGAAAAGAAAGAACGAAGAGGAGAUGAAGAGAAACGUGCUAUGCUGCACCUCCAGCUUUAUGGAUACCACAGUUCUACUAAUGCUGUGCUAAAAACAGAAGGAGAGGACCUGGUUCCAAGAAGCUAUUGGGAUACUCUGAGACGUAGCACAAGCCAGGCACUCUUUUCGGACCUUGCAGAGCGUGCAGAUGACAUCACUGGUUUACUAUCCGAUACUACACUGCUAGUACACUUUUUUGGUAAGAAAGGAAAGGCUGAGCUUAACUUUGAAGAUUUUUAUAGGUUUAUGGAUAAUCUCCAAACUGAAGUUCUUGAAAUAGAAUUUCUUUCAUACUCUAAUGGAAUGACUACCAUCAGCGAGGAAGACUUUGCUCAUAUACUUUUAAGAUAUACAAAUGUGGAAAAUACAUCAAGCUAUCUGGAAAACGUACGCUGCAGCAUGCCAGAAGAACAAGGCAUUACAUUUGAUGAAUUCAGAUCAUUUUUCCAGUUUUUGAAUAAUCUAGAAGACUUCGCAAUUGCAAUGCAGAUGUAUAAUUUUGCAAACCGUUCCAUAGGAAAAGAUGAAUUCAGGCGUGCAGUAUAUGUAGCUACAGGUUUGAAGCUUUCAAUGCAUUUAGUAAGCACUGUCUUCAAGAUCUUUGAUGUAGACAAAGAUGAUCAGCUGAGCUACAAAGAAUUUAUUGGUAUUAUGAAAGACCGAUUGCAACGAGGGUUCAAGCCAAGUCUACAGACACAUUCUGAUCCAGCUUGCUGUUGAUCAAGUAGGUCCCCAAUUAAUUAUCUAGAAGGUUCAGUCUCGUCAUUGCCAUUUAUAGACUGGGAAAUCGAUGUCUAAAAGCUUUUGAUAGCCUAUUGAGUAGUUUUAGAAGUUUAAUCUGUCUGUACUCCUGACUGCCCCCUAGAGACAAUAAAUUAACUAAAUAGUAGUCAGCAGAAAUGAAUUUUGUCACAAAGUAUUUUUAAGUAAUUCUGUAAAUACUGUUGUGUAAUUUUGCAUUUAAUUUCACAUUUUAAAUUGGGCUUUGUCUUCUAUCAAAAAUACAGUAAUCAGAUUGCAUUUCUUUUUAAGCCUGAAAUAUAUGUACAAUAUAAAUAUUUUAGGUUAAUGAUUAUAAGCAGGAAUGAGCCACUACCUACUUUCUCAGCCCAUAAACGAUUGGGCUGGACUAUUCAAACAGUUGAAAAAGCCCCCUUCUCUAACGAAAAAAUUUCUUGGAGAGGGAAAACCAGGUGGCGGAGGGCAUGGAACACAGCAGGGCUUCGCCUCAGUGGCAGAUGACAUGAUCCUCAGCCAACUGGAACGCCCUUCUCCAAUGUAUGGGUGUGUGUUUUCCCUAUUAGGAAAUAGGAACUGCCGGGGAAGCAUGGGGAACAUAUGGGGUGGGGUGCUAGCUAUUGUGUGCUCUGCCGAGCUCAAAGGGCAACUCAAAAUCAGGAUUAAAGCAAGUGGGCUGAAAUACUCAUACAACCCCAUUUCUUACAUCAUAUCUGAUUUAUGAGGCCUUUAAAGAAGGAAGAAUGAAUCUAUACACCUUCUCUAGUAAUUUGAAUUGGCAAGCCAACUAUGCCUUCGACAUGUGGUGACAAAAUUUACUUCAUUGCUUGUUCUCUGAAUGUUGUUUUUUAAAAGUGCCAUGGUAGUGUGGAGUUGCUGAUUGUCCUUGUUAUUAGUGUUGGGUUAAAAUGUGUUUUUAGCCAAUCUUCUUUUAGUAUUCCCUAUAGACACUGUUCAUAAUUCCGAAUAUUAUGUCUCCUUUGCAAAUGUAUUAAAGGAUUUUAUAAUUGUUUUCUAACCUGAACUUUAAGAAUUUCUGCUCUGAGAUCUGGUAUGUUUAACUGCCACCCUGUGGAUAGUGACUGUAUUGCCAAAAUUUGAAGUGAUGUUUGUAAUUUCACACAAGCUGUAUGAAAGUAGAGUAUGGAGACUGUUUUCAUAAUACCUUAUUUAAGAUGUAGAUUCAGUAUCUUUGCUUUAAAAAUGCAUUUUUCUCUUCUUUACCAAGUACUUUAAGAAAAACACUCUCUGUUGUAGCAUCUUUGAAAUUAAUAGUUAUGCCUAUAUUGUGGUAUCAUACAUAAUUGUAUCACAGGUGCAUGAAUAUUUUAGCCUAAAAUUAUUUUUGCUGAGUUUUCUACACUAUGACUAACAAGUACAAUUCCAUUAUUAUUAUUAUUAUUAUUAUUAUUAUUAUUAUUAUUAUUAUUAUUAUUUUCAUCAUCAUCUCCUAACGCUCACCUUUGGCUGCCUUUACAUGAUGCUUGCACAUGCACACUUCUUUGUCUUCUGCUUCUCAGGGCUACAAAACCCUACAAAAAUACACCACUUUCAAAUCCUGUGUGAAGAAGGAACUCAAUAGCAGAUAAACUAUGGAAAAACCGAAACAUGGGUUGAAGGACUAUUAUGUUUGUGUGAUGACUGUAACAAGCAAACACAUUAGGCAGCGUUGGAAGCAAUUUCGGAAAAGAGAUAUGCUGUGAUGGAUGACAAGACACUUCCACUUUUGUUCACUGCUGAUUCUUUUUCUUUUUCUUUUUGGGCAUGCCUUGCAAACUGAAUGCAGAAAUCAUGAAGUUGGUAUUUAAGCCAAACAUCUUCCAGCUGUAUCUUAUCAUCUUGGACUGUGAUCCCUAAAGUGUUCUGCUGUAUAAUUUUCAUUCACUUCAUUAGGUGUGAGUGUCUGUGGAGUGAGAGUCAUCCUCUGAAUAUUUCUUCUUACAGGGAUUCAAGUGAAUCUUCGUAAGGAUUUUAUUUAACUAUUAGAUAUUAUUUUCUAAUUAGUCAUCUGCUGGGAAGACUUAUACAUGUACUGAGAAAUAAGUCAGUGGAACUUACUCCCAGGUAAGUGUUCACAGGAUUGCAGUCUUAAAAUGGGUUAUAUUUACAGAACACUUAAAACCAAACCCAAUGCAACAAUAUUAUGAUUUAGUAUUAUCUGGUUUUAUCUUUGUCAGUUGCUUUGGAUCCAUCCUAAUGGGGGGAAAGUGUACAAGUCAUUUCUUUUUUAAAAAAAAAAGUAUGCAUGGGGCAACCAUCUUGUGGAGCCCUUUCAAAGAAAUUAAAAUCCUGCUGAUCAGCUGUUUAGCAUGAAAGGGCACGAUCUAGUCCUAAAAACAGCUGAAUUAUUUCUGCAACAGCUCCAGGUGUUGGAUCAGUAACAGAAACUGCACAUGUAGCACCCUGCUCCUUCUCCAGGUGGGACAAAUACAUCUAAUGCCCCGAGUUGGAGGGGAUUGUUCCACUUUAAAUAUAAAAACAAAAUGUGAAUUGUUUUAGGAAUGCAUUUUUUAAAAAUGUCUGUUGUAUUUAUUUUGUUUUCAUAUGCCAUUCCAUUUUCUUAAUAUGGUUAUUUGGCUGUUAAAUGUGCCUAUAAUUAUGGCGAUGGAGGAAAAAAAUGUUUUCAUAUGGUUUUAUAAUAGGAACAUGUGGAAAGCAAAUAGGAAAUGUAAAAUGAGAUUUAUUCCAAAGCAGAAGAAAAUUUUGUAGCUCAAAGCGAUAAAGCUGCAUUCAGACCACUCUGAAACAUUAUGCUAAACAAGCUCUUAUAGUAUAGAUUAAUGUGAAAGUUAAAAUAGUUUAAACAUGGAAACAUUAUGGUACAGUGGUACACAAGCCACUUAAAUUGGAGUAUUUCCAUUUUAAUCCUGGUGUUUUUCAUUACAUUCUGUUGGACUAAAUCAAAUUUCAACUGGUUCAAGGAUAGUAGUUUUAUUGUUUAUGCUUUACUCAAUAGGUUAAUCAGAAUGUGCUGACUUCAGAUUAUAUAAUUAUGGAUAGCACUGCAAAAGGAAAUGUGUUAUAGCCUACUUAUUCUGUGCUAUCUUAAUACACAAUCCUUGGAUCCUGACAACAGAACAUAAUUCCACUUGUAAAAUGGGGGUUCCUUGGCUCUUCCUCAUUGUAGACCCAUUUCCCUACAAAAGCAGCGCCUGAUAGUCAGAGACCCUCUGGAACCUCAGGCGGCUGCUACUGGAAAGAGGAAUCCUUGGCAAUCAGGAACAUCUCCUUGCAUGAGCAAAAGCAACUUCUGCUUGCCGUUGUGCACUCUAGGUUCCAAGCCCUGUUUGCACUUUCUUUAGUUAGCUGAAAAUACUUUAGUCAUGUAGUGCAUGACUUAGUAGACAGAUGCAUUGUCUUCUGGAGUUAACUAGCAUGCAACACUAAAACAGACCUUAAAUUUUGUGCUAGUUUGCUUCCAGUUUUUGUAGUUGCAAAACAAAUGGAAUGCUUGCAUUAAUGUUUAGUCAUAGCCUGUCACAGAAUCUUAUAAUGAUAAAGUGCCAUGAUUUUAUAUCAAUAUGUCAAUUAAAAGGUCACUAAGUAAGAAAUCAUGUGAAAACUGCAAGCAGUAAGCUGCAGCUUUCAAGACUGCUUUUAAAAAUGUUCUAUAGCAGUAGUAUUUUUUUGAAGAUAAUGAAUGGAUACAGUGCAAUUUUCUUAUCAUAUGUGCUCUGCUGAGUAGUUCACAGACUCACUCAACCUCUACACAUGAUAGAAGGCUAGGCGUCAUUUCUUCACUCAUGUGAUGCUAGAUGCAGAUACACAGUUCAGAGGCUUGUGCACAAGAAUCAUACACCCUGCUGCCUGGUUUUGAGGGAUUGCAUGAGUGUAUAUGCAGACCUGUUAGUGUAGUGUCUGGAUCACAAAUGAUUUUAUAUACCUAGCAAGGUGGGGCAAAAGAAGAGGUGUAACUACACCAUUGUCCAUAGAGAAUCCAGAGCAAGAUAAUGUAGGACCCAGCCCUAAUUUUCUAACAUUACAUGCUGGUACUUUUGGCUUCAUUAAGGUCAAUGGGAGUAAGUUAAGAAUUUCAGUAAAGUAGAUAUAUCACUCAUGAACUUUGUAUCCAGUUAAUUAAAAUCAGUGGGAAUAUAGGAUACAUAAAUGUGUGCUGGAUCACACCCAGAAUUUGAAACAGUUUAGUGCUGUUUACAAAAAGUAUGAAUUAAACAGAAGACAGAAAAAUUGAGUCACCACAGACAGAUUUAAGGAGCAAUUUGCAGGAAGAACAUGAAAAAAGAAUAUUUAAUGAAGUUUGGAACCUAAACAAAUGUAUGCUUUUCACAUCCAAGGCCACAGUAUAGAAAUUCUGGUUCUAACUUUUCUCUUUCCAAAAUGUAUACAUUUACAUCACUGUUACAGGGAUUCAACUACAUGCAAGAUUAAUGUGUUAAAUGCUUCUACUAGAAUCCUUCCUUUCUCUGUCUCUCCCUUUAAAAUGUGUAGAAGCCAGGCUACUGUGGAGUUUUUCCAUUACAGUCUAACCUCAAUAAAUAUUCUAAACAAGUGCGCAUAUUUUGUAGUUGCAGCAGAGUUACUUACAGUGGAACCUCGGUUUAUGAACACCUCGGUUUAUGAAUUUUCGGUUUAUGAACGCCGCGGACCCAUCUGGAACGGAUUAAUUCACUUUCCAUUACUUUUAAUGGGAAAGUUCGUUUCAGUUUAUGAACGCUUCAGUUUAUGAACAGACUUCUGGAACCAAUUACACCCAUGUUUCAGUUUAUGAACGCUUCAAUUUAAGUACUUCACGGACCGGUCUAGAACGGAUUAAUCCACUUUCCAUUACUUUCAAUGGAAAAGUUCGCUUCAGUUUAUGAACGGUUACUCUGCGGACCGUCUGGAACGGAUUAAUCCACUUUCCAUUACUUUCAAUGGAAAAGUUCGCUUCAGUUUAUGAACGCUUCAGUUUAUGAACAGACUUCCGGAACCAAUUGUGUUCAUAAACCGAGGUACCACUGUAUUUUGUUCUGUUUCCUUGUAUCAGUCCUGCCAAAGUUACAUGUCUCCUAAAACCAGUCCCCCUCCUGUGGGCUUGAAUGGAUCAGUGGGCUUGGGUAAGGAUGCCUUUGGACAUUGCUUUUUCCGUGGUUGAAAUAGGUGUGCCAGGCCAAAUUUUUGUGUUUGCCUUCUGAAACUAGCCCCAAAAUAUCUCUGGUUGCAUAAAAUGCAUUGUGAUCCUAAUGUGAUAGUCAUCCCCCUGAAGCUGCUCUAGCUUACCUUUGAACAAGAUGCCUCUUCUGUGUCCCCAUCUUUACCAGCACAGUAUACAUAUUGUACAAGAAUCCUGGUCUUACUGCAUUCCUUUAAAAGCUUACCAAAUUCUAGUAAUAAAGUAGUUCCUGUAUAUUUUUUUAUUAAUGGUGACUCAUCACUUACUGAAAUGUGUAUCAGAGUCAGUAUGAGUUAGAAAUAAUUUUACUGGGUAAUAAAUAGGCAAGGAACUAUAUACACAUACCCCGUAAAAGAGGCAGGUAAAUACCAGUUUCCUAUUUUUCAACAUUCUGUUGACAUUAAUCCCCUCAUUUGAUUUGGCUAUUCUUUAACAUACAAGGCACUUAUCUGCGCACCAUUCAACAUUCAAAACUCACAUACUUACUGCAUAUUUCAUUGGCAGAUAAAAUAACCCAUUCAAAUAUAUUUUGCAGCAGUAACACAAGGACAAAAUGAUAGAUCAUUAAUUUUUUUAAAAAAAUUAAUGAUCUAUUUCCUAUGUUUCUCUUUUAUGGUAAGGUAAAGGUAAAGGGACCCCUGACCAUUAGGUCCAGUCGUGACCGACUCUGGGGUUGCGCGCUCAUCUCGCAUUAUUGUCCGAGGGAGCCGGCGUAUAGCUUCCAGGUCAUGUGGCCAGCAUGACAAAGCCGCUUCUGGCAAACCAGAGCAGCACAUGGAAACGCCGUUUACCUUCCCGCUGGAGCGGUUCCUAUUUAUCUACUUGCAUUUUGACAUGCUUUCGAACUGCUAGGUUGGCAGGAGCUGGGACCAAGCAACGGGAGCUCACCCUGUCACAGGGAUUCGAACUGCCGACCUUCUGAUCAGCAAGCCCUAGGCUCAGUGGUUUAACCACUCUUUUAUGGUAGGCAACUACAAUAUCAAUGUAUAUACUGUACAGUAUAGAGCUGUAUUUAAAUUUAACACAGACCCAUAUCCAUUUAUAUGGUAGUAACCUGCUGCAGCAGAGAAGGAUAAAUGUCUGUAAUACUAUGACCACAGCGUAGAAAUGUCAUUUCCAUAUAUGAAUUAUAUAUCUUGAGCUUGACCUCAGCUGUCACGAAUGCAAGGCCAGAGUAAGGACCAGUGUGAAAGCUCCCUCCUGGGAGUGACCCAAACACUCACCUUUCCCAGGUGGCCUCAAGGCCACUGCGGAAGGGGCCACAGCUGCAACAGGAGAAAUGGUAGCCCCCAUUUGGCCAAAGGUGACUGAGCUGAGCAGCGCUUCCCCAGAUCCAGGGACCACAAUCCAGGCACCAGACUCCUGCCCUUCCCCACCAUGAGAUGCCUGGACUUCAGGCGCUGAGGAACCGGGAUCAGCCACGACCUCGUUGGCAAGCAGCCGGGCCUCCCCAUGGAGGAUGAUCUGACUCAUGGAGCUGCAGGAACUGCAGCAUAGGCAGUAGCAUCUGCCAGUCAGUGGACAGCUGGGAAGUGGUCGGUGCAAGGCUGGGGGUGGUUGGGCAUCAUGUAUUUGGAUGUCCCCCAAAAAGGGAUGUCCUGGAGAGUUGAUGGAUAUGUGCCAUGGACCCGCUGGGUGUGUUACAUGGACUCCCUGGAGUCCGCAGAGCACCAAUUGGGAGCCACUAGUAUAGACUACUAGCUGGCCCUACCACGCGUUGCUGUGGAUUAGUCUGUUAAAUGGGCCCUCAGAGUCCCUUCUCAGACUCCCCUGUUGGCCCCACUGUGGAUUAGUCUGCUAAAUGGGCCCUCAGAGUCCCCCUUCAGACUCCUCCCCCCACCCCCCGUGACUCAUCCCUGUGAUUGGCUCCAGCCUGUCCCGAUCCAUGACCUUUCCCGCCCCCUCCUCUCCCCAUCCCCCACCCAGGGGAGCCCCCACCUCUAUUCGGCCUAGCCUUCAAACCUCUACUCAGCCUAGUCUGCAAAGGUGAGCCAAGCUGUUGUGGAGUGGGAAGCUUUCCUACCUGCAGUACCAGUGUAGCCGCCGCUAGAGGCCGCUGUUGUGCAAGGUCUCCUGAUUCUAUUUCCCAGCAUGCACUUUAGGGUGAGUUGUGUGUUUUUGAACACGGGGGUUUGGGGGUUUUACGUUGCCCAGGUGUGACAUUUGUCUUUGAACUUUGUGUUAAAACUUGAACACAAUCUUGAACAGCAGUUUUGUUGAGCAUUGGAGAGGAACACACAUGCCCAGUCUACAUUUAUAUAUAUAUAGAUGGUUUGCUUUUGACUCUCACUGGAUGGAUGGCUCCUUUGAGCCUGCUUACUCGGCUGUGCUUUGCUUGCUUACUUGCUUGCUCUUUUCCAGGAAGAAAUAGCAAUAAGGUGCACUGCUAGAGAGUUCUGCAUUUAAAGGAGACAGAGCUAAGCAGCUGCAUUAGUAAGUAAACACUUGGCCUAUACACUCAUCCGCAAGAUUUUUCUUGUAUGCCAAGGAACUGACCAUUAGGCAGAGAAAUUGCUUGGCAUGAAGAACUGACAGAUUAUAAGCCCAUUCCUGCUCUGCUAAGACACUCACCACAACGCCAAAAAACACAUUAGGAAAUCAUGUGGUACAGUCUUCUUAGACUUCAGAAUACAUGCACAUGAAAGUGAGCACUCAUCAGGCAGAAGGGUUCCUGCUUUUCCUUCUCCUUCCUAGUGCACUAUUGUUCUACACACAGCAUUGUUUACAUUGGGGAGAUGGAUAUAUGUGGGGUUGCUCAUAGCUGAAAUAGUUUGGACCCAGUCCAUUUAUUUUCACAAGAAUUAUUUGAAUCCCUUUUCUAAAAUCAGGAGCCAAAUGCUAGGAAAGCAUUUAUUGUGUGUGCCUCUAUGAAUCAUGACUCAUGAUGAAUGAUUAAAUCAUAAAUGUUUUAGGACCAACAAAAAUAAUCCUGCAGGGUAAUAAGAGCUGGGUAGCACAAACACACCCACAUCUUCUUUUAAAACAGUAAUUCAUAUAUACUGUAGUAAGAAGGAUUUUUUGUUGUUUGAGUUUUUUCUCAUUGUUUUAAAUGUAAAACAAAAGGUGUAUGUAGAAUGGUGUCCCUUCUUUGUACAGAUUUAGUGCAUAGACUGGAGUGUGAAGAGGACAUCUUUGGAUGCAUUAUUACAGGCAACACUGGUACAAUAGAGCAUUGCAUCUGGCUGAGAGUUGGUGGUUUGAGCCCACCCAAGGAUGGCUGUGGGCAGGAUUCCUGCAUUGCAGGAGAUUGGACUAGAUGACCCUCAGGUACCUUCCAACUCUAUGAUUCUAUGGCUUAAGCAAAACAUAGGAGGGUAGGUGGACUUUGGGGUAUGUGUAUCAUUUUCAUGGUUAAUAGGCCAAAGAAGAGCACUCUGACUUAAAUCUGAGAGGUCUACAGGAAACCUGUUAUUAUCACAUAUUUUUAUGUAUUUUUGUUCCAAUAUAUGUAAUCCCAAAAAUUUACACUGUAGCUUUGGUGACCCAUACAAUGGCUUUAUGUACAUAAUAAAUGAGUAGCCUUAGGAAUAUAAUUGUUCAUGUGUUCCUAUGUACAGGUAUUGAAUAAAUACAGCUGUUCAUCUCCCUGCUUUAUCUGUGGAAGAGACUGAAGAAAUAACUAUUUUUAAAUACUUGAAAGCACUGCACUUCAUUUCCUUAAUAUUGUUGUCAUGUCUGUGAGGAUUACAGCUCUUUUGCUGCAAUGUUGACAGAAAUGUCAGUUUCCAUCUGGUAUGGCCCAUUAAACACAGGGGCGGAGUACCAGUGGCCCUCCAAAUGUUGCUGAACAACAAUUCCCAUCAUCCCUGACCAAUGACUAUACUGGCUGGGGCUGAUGGGAAUUGGAGUCCUAAUAUCUGGAGGGCCAUAGAUUUCCACAUGGGUGAGACCAGGGUGCCAACUUGAAUAAAAUAGGGGGGGGGCAAGUAAGCCCUGCCCUGCAUAAUCAAUCACGACACGGUGCACUGACACCAUUUGAGUGGCAAUGUCUUAUCAACUGGGGGGGGGGCG